rnacentral:rRNA from 1 species
GACAUAGGUGGCGAACGUUAUCCGGAAUUAUUGGGCGUAAAGGAUGCGUAGAUGGUAGAAUAAGUUACUGGUUGAUGCCAAACUCAAUUUGACGGAAGCUGGUAAUACUGUUUUGCUAGAGGACAGGAGAGGUUGAUGGAAUUCUGUGUGGAGCGGUGAAAUGCGUUGAUCUACAGAGGAACACCAAAAAAGGCGAAGGCAGUCAACUAUCCUGUUCCUGACAUUGAGGCAUGAAAGCGUGGGGAGCAAACCGG